UAUUGGUCAAUGGGCGCGAGCCUGAACCAGCCAAGUCGCGUGAGGGAUGACGGCCCUACGGGUUGUAAACCUCUUUUGUCGGGGAGCAAAUUCCGUUACGUGUAACGGAGUCGAGAGUACCCGAAGAAAAAGCAUCGGCUAAGUCCGUGCCAGCAGCCGCGGUAAUACGGAGGAUGCGAGCGUUAUCCGGAUUUAUUGGGUUUAUAGGGUGCGUAGGCGGGCUUUUAAGUCAGCGGUAAAAAUUCGGGGCUCAACCCCGUCCGGCCGUUGAAACUGGGGGCCUUGAGUGGGCGAGAAGAAGGCGGAAUGCGUGGUGUAGCGGUGAAAUGCAUAGAUAUCACGCAGAACCCCGAUUGCGAAGGCAGCCUUCCGGCGCCCUACUGACGCUGAGGCACGAAAGUGCGGGGAUCG
rnacentral:rRNA from 1 species